rnacentral:misc_RNA from 1 species
GAUGAAGAACGUAGCGAAAUGCGAUACUUGGUGUGAAUUGCAGAAUCCCGUGAACCAUCGAGUCUUUGAACGCAAGUUGCGCCCGAAGCCAUUAGGCCGAGGGCACGCCUGCCUGGGCGUCACACGUCGUUGCCCCCCCAUCUACUCCUUCGGGAUUGCGGGGGGCGGAUGAUGGCCUCCCGUGCGCCUCGUCGCGCGGUUGGCAUAAAUGCCAAGUCCUCGGCGACGCACGCCACGACAAUCGGUGGUUGCGAAACCUCGGUUGCCCGUCGUGUGCGGUCGUCGCGCAUCGAGGGCUCGAAAAAAUUGCCGGGCUCCGGCUCGGCUUUCAACGCGACCCCAGGUCAGGCGGGGUUACCCGCUGAAUUUAAGCAUAUCAAUAUGCGGAGGA